rnacentral:rRNA from 2 species
UUCCUUGAACCGCAUGGUUCAAGGAUGAAAGACGGUUUCGGCUGUCACUUACAGAUGGACCCGCGGCGCAUUAGCUAGUUGGUGGGGUAAUGGCUCACCAAGGCGACGAUGCGUAGCCGACCUGAGAGGGUGAUCGGCCACACUGGGACUGAGACACGGCCCAGACUCCUACGGGAGGCAGCAGUAGGGAAUCUUCCGCAAUGGACGAAAGUCUGACGGAGCAACGCCGCGUGAGUGAUGAAGGUUUUCGGAUCGUAAAGCUCUGUUGUUAGGGAAGAACAAGUGCGAGAGUAACUGCUCGCACCUUGACGGUACCUAACCAGAAAGCCACGGCUAACUACGUGCCAGCAGCCGCGGUAAUACGUAGGUGGCAAGCGUUGUCCGGAAUUAUUGGGCGUAAAGGGCUCGCAGGCGGUUUCUUAAGUCUGAUGUGAAAGCCCCCGGCUCAACCGGGGAGGGUCAUUGGAAACUGGGAAACUUGAGUGCAGAAGAGGAGAGUGGAAUUCCACGUGUAGCGGUGAAAUGCGUAGAGAUGUGGAGGAACACCAGUGGCGAAGGCGACUCUCUGGUCUGUAACUGACGCU